GUCUGUAUAAAAGGCGAGCAGCGGCUAAGCCGGGGCGUGGCUCCGGCGGCUCCUCCAUUGCGGUGCCCAAUGGGCUGGAGGCUGUGAGCAUCGAGAGCAGGGGCUGCCUGAGCAGCGGACGGUGAAGAGACAGAUGGGACAUCGUUGGAACGCAGGCCCAAGGAGAGGCCCCGUGCAGCUCUCUUCAGGGACCAUCCCGGGGUGCUCGACCUGUCCCUGCAAGAAGAACACCCAUCACCACCAAUCUCUUCAUGCGGCUGCCGCUGGCCACCUUUCCUACCCACCACCAGCCCAACCUGCUUCCUCCCCACACAUCUUGGCCUUGUGGCACUCCUAGCCCCACACUGUGGCCAUGCUGCAUCCUUCUAUCUGUCCUGUAUCAUCUUCUGCUUCUCCACUGGUAUGUGGAGCAUGGGCAGACUGUGCCUGGUCCCUCCUCCAGGCCUUUGCUUCCCUGGCUGUUCCCAGCUGGCACCCACAUGUACACAGCUGUGCAGAUCCUUCCCAAAUAACAGCCUUCAUCCUGUGGGAUGGAAUAAACCUCCUUUCCACACACAGACUUCAA